UGAAAAGUUCGUUCGAGUUUU
rnacentral:miRNA from 1 species